rnacentral:rRNA from 1 species
CUACGGGAUGCAGCAGUGGGGAAUAUUGGACAAUGGAGGCAACUCUGAUCCAGCCAUGCCGCGUGAGUGAUGAAGGCCUUAGGGUUGUAAAGCUCUUUCAGAUGUGACGAUGAUGACGGUAACAUCAGAAGAAGCCCCGGCUAACUUCGUGCCAGCAGCCGCGGUAAUACGAAGGGGGCUAGCGUUGUUCGGAAUUACUGGGCGUAAAGCGCGCGUAGGCGGCUUGAUCAGUCAGAGGUGAAAUCCCAGGGCUCAACCCUGGAACUGCCUUUGAUACUGUCAAGCUAGAGCUCGGAAGAGGGUGGCGGAAUAUCCAGUGUAGAGGUGAAAUUCGUAGAUAUUGGAUAGAACACCAGUGGCGAAGGCGGCCACCUGGUCCGUAGCUGACGCUGAGGUGCGAAAGCGUGGGGAGCAAACAGGAUUAGAUACCCGCGUAGUC